rnacentral:rRNA from 1 species
GCUUCUAUACCCUUUGUGACAUACCUAUAACUGUUGCUUCGGCGGGUAGGGUCUCCGCGACCCUCCCGGCCUCCCGCCUCCGGGCGGGUCGGCGCCCGCCGGAGGAUAACCAAACUCUGAUUUAACGACGUUUCUUCUGAGUGGUACAAGCAAAUAAUCAAAACUUUUAACAACGGAUCUCUUGGUUCUGGCAUCGAUGAAGAACGCAGCGAAAUGCGAUAAGUAAUGUGAAUUGCAGAAUUCAGUGAAUCAUCGAAUCUUUGAACGCACAUUGCGCCCGCCAGCAUUCUGGCGGGCAUGCCUGUUCGAGCGUCAUUUCAACCCUCAAGCUCUGCUUGGUGUUGGGGCCCUACAGCUGAUGUAGGCCCUCAAAGGUAGUGGCGGACCCUCCCGGAGCCUCCUUUGCGUAGUAACUUUACGUCUCGCACUGGGAUCCGGAGGGACUCUUGCCGUAAAACCCCCCAAUUUUCCAAAGGUUGACCUCGGAUCAGGUAGGAAUACCCGCUGAACUUAAGCAUAUCAAUAAGCGGAGGAA